ACUGCAAGUCGAGCGGACAGAUGGGAGCUUGCUCCCUGAUGUUAGCGGCGGACGGGUGAGUAACACGUGGGUAACCUGCCUGUAAGACUGGGAUAACUCCGGGAAACCGGGGCUAAUACCGGAUGCUUGAUUGAACCGCAUGGUUCAAUUAUAAAAGGUGGCUUUUAGCUACCACUUACAGAUGGACCCGCGGCGCAUUAGCUAGUUGGUGAGGUAACGGCUCACCAAGGCAACGAUGCGUAGCCGACCUGAGAGGGUGAUCGGCCACACUGGGACUGAGACACGGCCCAGACUCCUACGGGAGGCAGCAGUAGGGAAUCUUCCGCAAUGGACGAAAGUCUGACGGAGCAACGCCGCGUGAGUGAUGAAGGUUUUCGGAUCGUAAAACUCUGUUGUUAGGGAAGAACAAGUACCGUUCGAAUAGGGCGGUACCUUGACGGUACCUAACCAGAAAGCCACGGCUAACUACGUGCCAGCAGCCGCGGUAAUACGUAGGUGGCAAGCGUUGUCCGGAAUUAUUGGGCGUAAAGCGCGCGCAGGCGGUUUCUUAAGUCUGAUGUGAAAGCCCCCGGCUCAACCGGGGAGGGUCAUUGGAAACUGGGGAACUUGAGUGCAGAAGAGGAGAGUGGAAUUCCACGUGUAGCGGUGAAAUGCGUAGAGAUGUGGAGGAACACCAGUGGCGAAGGCGACUCUCUGGUCUGUAACUGACGCUGAGGCGCGAAAGCGUGGGGAGCGAACAGGAUUAGAUACCCUGGUAGUCCACGCCGUAAACGAUGAGUGCUAAGUGUUAGAGGGUUUCCGCCCUUUAGUGCUGCAGCAAACGCAUUAAGCACUCCGCCUGGGGAGUACGGUCGCAAGACUGAAACUCAAAGGAAUUGACGGGGGCCCGCACAAGCGGUGGAGCAUGUGGUUUAAUUCGAAGCAACGCGAAGAACCUUACCAGGUCUUGACAUCCUCUGACAACCCUAGAGAUAGGGCUUCCCCUUCGGGGGCAGAGUGACAGGUGGUGCAUGGUUGUCGUCAGCUCGUGUCGUGAGAUGUUGGGUUAAGUCCCGCAACGAGCGCAACCCUUGAUCUUAGUUGCCAGCAUUCAGUUGGGCACUCUAAGGUGACUGCCGGUGACAAACCGGAGGAAGGUGGGGAUGACGUCAAAUCAUCAUGCCCCUUAUGACCUGGCUACCCCUUGCUACAAUGGGCAGAACAAAGGGCAGCGAAACCAAGCUAAGCCAAUCCC
rnacentral:rRNA from 1 species